GGUGGCUUAGUAGUAGAGCACUUGCCUUGCAUGCAUGAGGCCCUGGGUUCAAUUCCUCAGCACCA
rfam:Dipodomys ordii contig_11477, whole genome shotgun sequence.